GUGCCCAGCGCCCAGCCGGGCCCGCCUGCAACGGAACAUCUUUUGCUUUUGGAAACAAAACAAGCGGUUCGCACGUCUAAAACCACCCAGGGAACGGAGGGGUUUCCAGAAAAUAUGAGCAGAGGCCACUGCACGCUUCCACCCACCCCAAGCACCUCCCGGCGACCUCCCUGGAAGAAUACAAUAAUCCCAAGAGGCCCUGCAGGGCAUGGAGAAACUGGAAUCAGAAGGGAGAAGAGCUUUGAGUAUGCCUGAAGCCUGUGAUGCCAAGACUGUUCUCUCUGGAAGUGCCAACCUGUGUAAUAGCCAAGAGGUCCCACUGGCUCCCCUCCCCUCCCAGUGAAUUCUGCAGAGAUUAAAUAUACUGUGGGAAGGAUCUGUGUCUACAGUGUUACAUACGUGCAGGUAAGUUUUAUUUUAAAUAAACUUCCUUUUAAGGAGCCCAAACAUUGCACAGCUAAUCUCUCACAGCAUCACAGCAGUGAGCCAAAUGUCUCAAGAGUCACCAAAUCAAGCCUCCUUUGUUCCAACCCCUGGUUGGAAGGACUCCCUGUUACCUGCCUUGUCUGCCUAGACCCCAUCGCAAAUGAUCACAUGUGUUGUACAUUAGAAUAAAACUUAGGGAAAUGUG